AUGCGGAGGGUCCAAGCGUUAUCCGGAAUCAUUGGGUUUAAAGGGUCCGCAGGCGGUCAAUUAAGUCAGAGGUGAAAGCCCAUCGCUCAACGAUGGAACUGCCUUUGAUACUGGUUGACUUGAGUUAUACGGAAGUAGAUAGAAUAAGUAGUGUAGCGGUGAAAUGCAUAGAUAUUACUUAGAAUACCGAUUGCGAAGGCAGUCUACUACGUAUAUACUGACGCUGAGGGACGAAAGCGUGGGGAGCGAACAGGAUUAGAAACCCUAGUAGUCC
rnacentral:rRNA from 1 species